rnacentral:lncRNA from 1 species
UGGGGUUUAUUAUAUUUCUUUACAUGUAGGUAAAUGUUGUCACUUUUAUAAAAAUUGUAAACUCAACACAGUUUUAAUCAUUUUAUAGUUCAUACGUUUUUGUUUUUGCACCAUUGAAAAUAUCUACAGCUUUUUCUUGUUCAAAGAAUUAACUGUCAUCGUUGUAUGAAUUUCAUCAAUGCAUCCAAAUUUGAUUAAGUCAUCAUCCACAGCAAAUUGCA